ACGAACGCUGGCGGCGUGCCUAAUCCAUGCAAGUUGAGCGCUGAAGGUUGGUACUUGUACCAACUGGAUGAGCAGCGAACGGGUGAGUAACGCGUGGGGAAUCUGCCUUUGAGCGGGGGACAACAUUUGGAAACGAAUGCUAAUACCGCAUAAAAACUUUAAACACAAGUUUUAAGUUUGAAAGAUGCAAUUGCAUCACUCAAAGAUGAUCCCGCGUUGUAUUAGCUAGUUGGUGAGGUAAAGGCUCACCAAGGCGAUGAUACAUAGCCGACCUGAGAGGGUGAUCGGCCACAUUGGGACUGAGACACGGCCCAAACUCCUACGGGAGGCAGCAGUAGGGAAUCUUCGGCAAUAGACGAAAGUCUGACCGAGCAACGCCGCGUGAGUGAAGAAGGUUUUCGGAUCGUAAAACUCUGUUGGUAGAGAAGAACGUUGGUGAGAGUGGAAAGCUCAUCAAGUGACGGUAACUACCCAGAAAGGGACGGCUAACUACGUG
rnacentral:rRNA from 1 species